ACGAAGGGGGCUAGCGUUGCUCGGAAUUACUGGGCGUAAAGGGCGCGUAGGCGGCACUGUUAGUCAGGCGUGAAAUUCCUGGGCUCAACCUGGGGACUGCGCUUGAUACGGCAGAGCUAGAGGAUGGAAGAGGCUCGCGGAAUUCCCAGUGUAGAGGUGAAAUUCGUAGAUAUUGGGAAGAACACCGGUGGCGAAGGCGGCGAGCUGGUCCAUUACUGACGCUGAGGCGCGACAGCGUGGGGAGCAAACAGG
rnacentral:rRNA from 1 species